CUGUGGAUGGCUUAGUGGUAGAGUGCUUGCCUACCAUGCAAGAAGCCUUGAGUUCGAUUCCACAGU
rnacentral:tRNA from 1 species